AAAAGAAAUCAACCGAGAUUCCCCCAGUAGCGGCGAGCGAACGGGGAGGAGCCCAGAGCCUGAAUCAGUGUGUGUGUUAGUGGAAGCGUCUGGAAAGGCGCGCGAUACAGGGUGACAGCCCCGUACACAAAAAUGCACAUGCUGUGAGCUCGAUGAGUAGGGCGGGACACGUGGUAUCCUGUCUGAAUAUGGGGGGACCAUCCUCCAAGGCUAAAUACUCCUGACUGACCGAUAGUGAACCAGUACCGUGAGGGAAAGGCGAAAAGAACCCCGGCGAGGGGAGUGAAAAAGAACCUGAAACCGUGUACGUACAAGCAGUGGGAGCACGCUUAGGCGUGUGACUGCGUACCUUUUGUAUAAUGGGUCAGCGACUUAUAUUCUGUAGCAAGGUUAACCGAAUAGGGGAGCCGAAGGGAAACCGAGUCUUAACUGGGCGUUAAGUUGCAGGGUAUAGACCCGAAACCCGGUGAUCUAGCCAUGGGCAGGUUGAAGGUUGGGUAACACUAACUGGAGGACCGAACCGACUAAUGUUGAAAAAUUAGCGGAUGACUUGUGGCUGGGGGUGAAAGGCCAAUCAAACCGGGAGAUAGCUGGUUCUCCCCGAAAGCUAUUUAGGUAGCGCCUCGUGAAUUCAUCUCCGGGGGUAGAGCACUGUUUCGGCAAGGGGGUCAUCCCGACUUACCAACCCGAUGCAAACUGCGAAUACCGGAGAAUGUUAUCACGGGAGACACACGGCGGGUGCUAACGUCCGUCGUGAAGAGGGAAACAACCCAGACCGCCAGCUAAGGUCCCAAAGUCAUGGUUAAGUGGGAAACGAUGUGGGAAGGCCCAGACAGCCAGGAUGUUGGCUUAGAAGCAGCCAUCAUUUAAAGAAAGCGUAAUAGCUCACUGGUCGAGUCGGCCUGCGCGGAAGAUGUAACGGGGCUAAACCAUGCACCGAAGCUGCGGCAGCGACGCUUAUGCGUUGUUGGGUAGGGGAGCGUUCUGUAAGCCUGUGAAGGUGUGCUGUGAGGCAUGCUGGAGGUAUCAGAAGUGCGAAUGCUGACAUAAGUAACGAUAAAGCGGGUGAAAAGCCCGCUCGCCGGAAGACCAAGGGUUCCUGUCCAACGUUAAUCGGGGCAGGGUGAGUCGACCCCUAAGGCGAGGCCGAAAGGCGUAGUCGAUGGGAAACAGGUUAAUAUUCCUGUACUUGGUGUUACUGCGAAGGGGGGACGGAGAAGGCUAUGUUGGCCGGGCGACGGUUGUCCCGGUUUAAGCGUGUAGGCUGGUUUUCCAGGCAAAUCCGGAAAAUCAAGGCUGAGGCGUGAUGACGAGGCACUACGGUGCUGAAGCAACAAAUGCCCUGCUUCCAGGAAAAGCCUCUAAGCAUCAGGUAACAUCAAAUCGUACCCCAAACCGACACAGGUGGUCAGGUAGAGAAUACCAAGGCGCUUGAGAGAACUCGGGUGAAGGAACUAGGCAAAAUGGUGCCGUAACUUCGGGAGAAGGCACGCUGAUAUGUAGGUGAAGCGACUUGCUC
rnacentral:rRNA from 1 species